rnacentral:rRNA from 1 species
UACAGAGGUCUCAAGCGUUGUUCGGAUUCAUUGGGCGUAAAGGGUGCGUAGGCGGCGCGGUAAGUCGGGUGUGAAAUCUCGGAGCUUAACUCCGAAACUGCAUUCGAUACUGCCGUGCUUGAGGACUGGAGAGGAGACUGGAAUUUACGGUGUAGCGGUGAAAUGCGUAGAUAUCGUAAGGAAGACCAGUGGCGAAGGCGUGUCUCUGGACAGUUCCUGACGCUGAGGCACGAAGGUCAGGGGAGCAAACGGG